GACGAACGCUGGCGGCGUGCCUAAUACAUGCAAGUUGAGCGCUGAAGGUUGGUACUUGUACCAACUGGAUGAGCAGCGAACGGGUGGGUAACGCGUGGGGAAUCUGCCUUUGAGCGGGGGACAACAUUUGGAAACGAAUGCUAAUACCGCAUAAAAACUUUAAACACAAGUUUUAAGUUUGAAAGAUGCAAUUGCAUCACUCAAAGAUGAUCCCGCGUUGUAUUAGCUAGUUGGUGAGGUAAAGGCUCACCAAGGCGAUGAUACAUAGCCGACCUGAGAGGGUGAUCGGCCACAUUGGGACUGAGGCACGGCCCAAACUCCUACGGGAGGCAGCAGUAGGGAAUCUUCGGCAAUGGACGAAAGUCUGACCGAGCAACGCCGCGUGAGUGAAGAAGGUUUUCGGGUCGUAAAACUCUGUUGGUAGAGAAGAACGUUGGUGAGAGUGGAAAGCUCAUCAAGUGACGGUAACUACCCAGAAAGGGACGGCUAACUACGUG
rnacentral:rRNA from 1 species